rnacentral:lncRNA from 1 species
UAUUUAUUUAUUAUUUUUUAAUUAACACGGAAAAAAAAACCCACCGGGACUUAAUUUGGUUUCGCAGCUACAACGAGACCACCAUAGUGAUGGAUGCACCUGCAGCAGAGCACGAUGGGUGCAAGUGCGGCUCCAGCUGCUCGUGCACCACCUGCACCUGCGGCCACUGAAGCCUCACCGUACUAAUACUAUGGACGCACCCGUAUGAUUAUAAUAGUUGUGUCGAAUAAGUUUGUAAUGUUUCUCGUUUGGGUCGAAAACGUGUGAUGAGUGUUGUGCCAAAAUUUGUGAUCCCUCUUAGGUUCACAACUAUGUAAUAGUUUGCAUCUCACCACGUUUAAUUAAUCUUAUGUUAUAAUUAAUCGGUUUGAUUUUAUAGUGUCUUAUUAUAUCUCGU